rnacentral:rRNA from 1 species
UACGGCUGCUGGUGGAUGACUUGGUUGGCUAGCCGAUGAAGGGCGUGACGAGCAGCGAUAUACCACGGGUAGACGCAUGAAGUCAUUGAUCCGUGGAUUCCCGAAUGGGACUUCCUCAUGAGGGCUAAUACCCCUCAUGGAUCCGGGGUCGCUCCCGGAUUGGGAACGGGCCGAACUGAAGCAUCUUAGUAGGCCCAGGAAAAGAAAACAACAGUGAUUCCCUGAGUAACAGCGAGCGAAAAGGGAACAGGCCAAACCGAAUCCCUGCGCGAAGAGUGCAGGGAGAUGUGGUGUUUAGGGCCCGGACAAUUGCCGACGUGCCUAAGCCGAAGUCGUCUGGAACGACGUGGCAUAGAGGGUGACACCCCCGUAGGCGUAAAGCACGGGCAUGUCUGGAGUCCCAGAGUAGCGCGGGUUGGUCUUCUCGCGUGAAGAUCGCAGGCGCAACCUGCGAAGCCUAAAUACUCAGCCAAACCGAUAGCGUACUACGUAGCGCGAGCGAAAGUUGAAAAGCGCCGCGGGAGCGGGGUGAAAAGCACCUGAAACCAGCAGUCUACUCAAAGGAUGCCGACUACAAGAGGAGAUACUCGGGGAACGAACGGGAAGCGAUUCCCUAGUAGGACCUGAGUGGAUCGAGCCGGCAUCAUCCGUCUUGAAACACGGGCCAGGGAGUUCAUGGGCGUGGCGAGGAUAAGGCGUCGAGCCGCAAACGUAGGGAAACCAACAAGCCCGCAGCCGGUUCGUCCGGUGAGGGGCGGCGUGUGAAUAGCGCGCGAAGUCACUCCCAUGACACGAGAAACCAGUCGAUCUAGGCCUGGCCAGGGUGAAGCCGGGCGAAAGCUCGGUGGAGGCCCGAAAGGGUUCUGACGUGCAACUCGUUCCGUUGAGCUGGGCCUAGGGGUAAAAGGCUUAUCUAGACUGGUGAUUGCUCGUUCUCCGCGAAGUUGGUCGCAGCCAAGCCCUGCCUGAGGUAUCACGUGGUGUAGAGCACUUUCGGAUCGGACCGGGGGGCGUAAAGCCCUUCACCAUCCUGAAAACUCCGAAGCUGCGUGAACCGUAGACGGCAGGAGACGGGUGCCCGGGGUAAGCCCGGCAGGCCGAGAUGGGGAGAACCGAGAGUACGGUUAAGGUCCCUAAGUGCCAGAUAAGUGCGGUGAAGAAGGGCGUCGAGAGCCCAAGACAGUCUGGGGGUGAGCUUAGAGGCAGCUAUCCCCGAACGAAAGCGUAACAGCUCACAGACCGAGGCUCUCGGCCUUGAAAAUGGACGGGGCUAAAUCUGGCCACCGAGACCGUACGGCACGCGAGUAACAUCGCGUGAUCCGGUAGCGGAGCGACCCGGUUGGGUAGAAGCAGGGGCGUGAGCUCCUGUGGACCGUCCGGGUUUGAUGAUCCUGGCAGUAGUAACAGCGAAGCAUGGUGAGAAUCCAUGUCGCCGGAAGGGAAAGGGUUCUUCGGCGAUGCGUCAUCAGCCGAAGCUUAGUCGGUCCUAAGGGGCACCGCAACUCGAGUGUCCCGAAAGGGAAUCAGGUUAAUAUUCCUGAACCUCGGAAGUACGUUUCGCGGCGACGCAAAGCCGGACUUGUGACUCAUCUGGAUAGGCCAGGCACCGUCCUCGCGGUGUUUAACACUAUAAGCCUGCUGAGAACCGUAACGGUGAGAGGCAGGUGAAAGGUGGAAUAGCGGGUGGUCGGACACCCGUCUGGCUGAUUCCUGGUGACCUUGAAAAGCGAGUCCGGAAGGAUCUUCCGAGUCCGUACCCAGAACUGACACAGGUUCCCUGGCUGAGAAGGCCAAGGCGUAUCCGGGUCAAUCCUGCCUGAGGGAAAUCGGCCAAUUAGCGGCGUAACUUCGGGAUAUGCCGUGCCUGGGUUGGUGCAAGCCUUCCCAGGUCUUAGUGACUAGGGGGUCCCAACUGUUUAAUACAAACAUAGCUGACUGCGAGCGCGAAAGCGUUAGUACAGUCAGUGAAUCCUGGUCUGUGCCUGUCUGUUAAACCUCAGAAAUGGGGCGAAGCACAGGUUAACGCCGGGACUAACUAUGAGUCUCUUAAGGUAGCCAAAUGCCUUGUCGGUUAAAUGCCGACGUGCAUGAAGGGAGCAAUGAGGUCCCCACUGUCCCCAGGAGGAACCGGGUGAACCUACACCAUACCGAACAGUGUAUGUAGCGCCAAUGGGAAGAGAAGUCCCUGCGGAGGUUUACUACGCAGUCUGUCGUUGCCAUCUCUGUUGUCAUACAGAGCGUAGUCAGGAGCGUUGAAGCAGGCUCUCCGGGGCCUGUGGAUGCGACCAUGGAACACUGACUAUGGCAAUGGGGGUGGCUAACCUAGGCCAAGCGAGUCUAGGGACACCGGCAGAUAGGCAGUUGGGCUGGGGCGGCACACGGCUGACAAGAGAUCAGCCGUGACCAAUGCUGAGCUCAGAGGCGACGGAAACGUCUCGUUGAGAUCAAGGGCAUAAGCUCGGCUGACGGGAUCCCGCAAAGCAACGGAUCCCGGGCGGAAACGCUGGCCUAGCGAACCUUCACCGGCCAGUUGCGAGCGGUGGAGAUGACAGAAAACUUACCCCAGGGGUAACAGAGUUGUCGCGGGCAAGAGUCCAUAUCGACCCCGCGGCUUGCUUCCUCGAUGUCGGCUCUUGGUAUCCUCGGGUUGCAUAAGGCCCGAAGGGUGCGGGUGCUCACCGAUUAAAACCGAACGUGAGCUGGGUUUAGACCGUUGCGAGACAGGUUGG